AUUGAACGCUGGCGGCAUGCCUUACACAUGCAAGUCGAACGGCAGCACGGGAGCAAUCCUGGUGGCGAGUGGCGAACGGGUGAGUAAUAUAUCGGAACGUGCCCAGUCGUGGGGAUAACGUAGCGAAAGCUACGCUAAUACCGCAUACGAUCUACGGAUGAAAGCGGGGGAUCGCAAGACCUCGCGCGAUUGGAGCGGCCGAUAUCAGAUUAGGUAGUUGGUGAGGUAAAGGCUCACCAAGCCGACGAUCUGUAGCUGGUCUGAGAGGACGACCAGCCACACUGGGACUGAGACACGGCCCAGACUCCUACGGGAGGCAGCAGUGGGGAAUUUUGGACAAUGGGCGCAAGCCUGAUCCAGCAAAUGCCGCGUGCAGGAUGAAGGCCU
rnacentral:rRNA from 1 species